AUGUAAUCCAUGUGGGCAAUUGACAUUGGGUCAUUAUGGAACUUGCGGACAAUCCCAUAUAGGGCCCAUUUUUCAGCCCAUUUACUACCCACAUGGGCCCCACAUACAAAUUGCUUUACGCUGG